AGUCUCUGUUCUGACUGACAGUGAUGGCUAUGAGGGGAGAAUAUAUCAGAAACACCUGAGGCCUUCAACUAGAACAAAACAAUCCCAGAGACCAGCGACAGCAGCUCCUUUCUGCACACACUGGUCUCAGGCUGACACCUGGUGGCUUGAUCUAACAGCAGCUCAGCAGCUCCAGGAGUCCACUGCCUGACGCCUGGAGCUGAAAUCCUCCGUCUGUGUGGAUCAGAGGAGGUUGUUGCUGCCGUGAACGUCUGAGUGGAAGAACAGAAGACAUGUGGGUGUCCGUGUGCCUCCCCCACCCCCGUGUGCCUCCCCCACCCCCGUCUGCCUCUGUGGAAUGAAUGGAGGAGGAGGAGGGGUGAGUAGAUCUGGCUGUGUGACGUGAAAGCGCUCUGCAUAAAGUUCCCAUGAGCCCUAGCAGUUCCUCAACAGGUCAGACUGGACCUAACGUGGGUCAGAGCCGGUCCUGAGGAGUCUUUUAAGGUGUCAGACUCACAGCAUUAGCAUUCAGACCUCCACAUGCUGUGUUUCAUGCCCUUUUAAAGCCAUUUAAAGCCAGUGUUUUGCUCCUUUUUAGCUGUAUGUGUUCUGCUACCCCAAGACAAGGCUCUUCAUGCUCAAAGACCUAUAUUAACCCCUCAGAUACAGGUUGUUAUUGUGUUACUUCGGUAGCACAUAUACUAAAAUUGGAACGAUACAGAGAAGAUUAGCAUGGCCCCUGCGCAAAGGAUACUGCCCAUUCUUCUCUACGAAGCAGGGGGGCAAGGAGAGGAAAGGGGGCCCAAAAAGUGAAAAAAAAAAAAAAAA